CAGUCGCCACGGUAACACGUAGGCGGCAAGCGUUGUCCGGAAUUAUUGGGCGUAAAGGGAGCGCAGGUGGGACGGUAAGUCCGUCUUAAAAGGCAGGGGCUCAGCCCCUGUAAGGGAUGGAAACUAUCGAUCUUGAGUGCCGGAGAGGAAAGCGGAAUUCCCAGUGUAGCGGUGAAAUGCGUAGAUAUUGGGAAGAACACCAGUGGCGAAGGCGGCUUUCUGGACGGCAACUGACACUGAGGCUCGAAAGCCAGGGGAGCGAUCGGGAUUAGAUACCCGGGUAGUCCCUGUCUCUUAUACA
rnacentral:rRNA from 1 species